rnacentral:rRNA from 1 species
AAAGGAAUUGACGGGGACCCGCACAAGCAGCGGAGCAUGUGGUUUAAUUCGAAGCAACGCGAAGAACCUUACCAGGGCUUGACAUGCCCCUGACCGGUGUAGAGAUACACCUUUACCUUCGGGUACAGGGGACACAGGUGGUGCAUGGUUGUCGUCAGCUCGUGUCGUGAGAUGUUGGGUUAAGUCCCGUAACGAGCGCAACCCCUGUUUUUAGUUGCCAUCAUUAAGUUGGGCACUCUAAAGAGACUGCCGAUGAUAAAUCGGAGGAAGGUGGGGAUGACGUCAAAUCAUCAUGCCCUUUAUGUCCUGGGCUACACACGUGCUACAAUGGUCGAUACAACGAGGAGCAACACAGCAAUGUGAAGCAAAUCUCUUAAAGUCGAUCUCAGUUCGGAUUGCAGGCUGCAACUCGCCUGCAUGAAGCCGGAGUUGCUAGUAAUCGCGAAUCAGAAUGUCGCGGUGAAUGCGUUCCCGGGUCUUGUACACACCGCCCGU